rnacentral:rRNA from 1 species
CCUACGGGCGGCAGCAGUGGGGAAUAUUGGGCAAUGGAGGCAACUCUUACCCAGCAAUGCCGCGUGAAUGAAGAAGGUCUUCGGAUUGGACAGUUCUUUAAUUGGGGACGAAAAAAAUGACGGUACCUGCAAAGGAAGCACCGGCUAACUACGUGACAGCAGCCGCCGUAAUACGGAGGGUGCGAGCGGUAAGCGGAAUUACUGGGCGUAAAGAGCUCGUAGGCGGUAUGUCAAGUCAAGGGUGAAAUCCCCGGGCUCAACGUGGGAACUGCCUUUGAAACUGGCAAACUGGAGUGUGUGAGAGGAUAGUGGAAUUCCAGGUGUAGGAGUGAAAUCCGUAGAUAUCUGGAGGAACAUCAGUGGCGAAGGCGACUAUCUGGCACAUAACUGACGCUGAGGAGCGAAAGCGUGGGUAGCAAACAGGAUUAGAUACCCGAGUAGUC